rnacentral:rRNA from 1 species
UAAUACGGAGGGUGCAAGCGUUAAUCGGAAUUACUGGGCGUAAAGCGCACGCAGGCGGUUUGUUAAGUCAGAUGUGAAAUACCCGAGCUUAACUUGGGAACUGCAUUUGAAACUGGCAAGCUAGAGUCUUGUAGAGGGGGGUAGAAUUCCAGGUGUAGCGGUGAAAUGCGUAGAGAUCUGGAGGAAUACCGGUGGCGAAGGCGGCCCCCUGGACAAAGACUGACGCUCAGGUGCGAAAGCGUGGGGAGCAAACAGGAUUAGAUACCCUGGUAGUCCACGCUGUAAACGAUGUCGACUUGGAGGUUGUGCCCUUGAGGUGUGGCUUCCGGAGCUAACGCGUUAAGUCGACCGCCUGGGGAGUACGGCCGCAAGGUUAAA